rnacentral:rRNA from 1 species
CAAUAGCGUAUAUUAAAGUUGUUGCGGUUAAAAAGCUCGUAGUUGGAUCUGCGGCCGAGGAGAGCGGUCCCCUUCGGGAGGUACUGCUUUUCCUGGCCUAAUUCUCCGGUUUUCCCUUGGUGCUCUUCAUUGAGUGUCAUUGGUGGCCGGAACGUUUACUUUGAAAAAAUUAGAGUGCUCAAAGCAGGCGUCUGCCUGAAUAGUGGUGCAUGGAAUAAUGAAAUAGGAUAUUGGUUCUGUUUUAUUGGUUCGGAGCUAAUAUAAUGAUUGAAGGGGACAGACGGGGGCAUUCGUAUUGCGACGUUAGAGGUGAAAUUCUUGGAUCGUCGCAAGACGGACUACUG